GUCUACAGCCAUGCUACCCUGAACACGCCUCAUCCUAUCUGAUCUCGGAAGCUAAGCAGGGUCGGGCCUGGUUAGUACUUCGAUGGGAGACCACCUAGGAAUACCAGGUACUGUAGGCA
rnacentral:rRNA from 1 species